rnacentral:rRNA from 1 species
CACGUAGGGCGCAAGCGUUGUCCGGAAUCAUUGGGCGUAAAGAGCGUGUAGGCGGCUUGGCAAGUCUGACGUGAAAGCCCGCGGCUCAACCGCGGAUUGUCGUUGGAAACUGCCUCGCUAGAGUCCGGAAGAGGAGAGCGGAAUUCCUGGUGUAGCGGUGGAAUGCGCAGAUAUCAGGAAGAACACCCGUGGCGAAGGCGGCUCUCUGGGACGGUACUGACGGCUGAGACGCGAAAGCGUGGGGAGCGAACAGG